UUUUUUUUUUAAUUUUUAGAUCAAAACUCUGGAAUUAAGAAAAACGUAUUCCUAUAAUUGUAAUUAGUCUACAAGAAAAUUAGUUAUUAGGUUGUGUUUGAUACAAUUCUCAAAUGAAAUGGCAUUUUAAAAUAAGAGAUUUGCUAAAUUGGAAUUUGUGAUCAAUCGUUAAAGACAACAGAGUUUUGCUAAUGAAAUGCUCAUGGAAUUUGUGAUCAAUCGCUCAAAACAACAGGUUGUGCUUGUACACAAUUCCCAAGUGAAGUGGCAUUUAAAAAUUUUAAAUUAUAUAAAGAGAUUUGCUAAACUCAUGGAAUUUGUGAUCAAUCAUUAAAAACAAGAGGUUGUGCCUGUACACAAUUCUCAAUCCCAAAUGAAAUGGCAUUUUAAAAUGAGAUUUGCUAAAAUGAUGGGAUUUGAUCACUUGUUAAAAACAACAGGUUGUGUCAGUACACAAUUCCCAAUUCCAAGUGAAAUGGCAUUUUACAAUUGUAAAAAGAUAUUUGUCAAAUUCGUAGAAUUUGUGAUCAAUUGCUGAAAACAACAGAAUCCAUCAGUGUAGAAAAGGUACGCUAAUAGAUGUGUUUGCACGAGUAAUGAAUGGGUGUGCGCUCUCCUAGGCUGAUUAUCCUGCGGCAGCGGGUUUCUAAAAGGACUUGCGCUUGCUAUGUGCAAGCUAUUUCCUCGUCAGCCCUUUUGCCCGCUCGAUUCGAAGAGGGAAAUCGUAACGCUUCGAAAUUGUGGUUCGCCUCGUUUGCGCGCUGUUAACUGCACCACUAACGAGAGACGAGAGCGAAGGAGAUCCUACGAUCGCGUUAUGACGUCUCCUCGCCGUUCGACUGAAUAAUGCCAGAGCUCUCUCCGACUGUGUGCGAGGCUUAUUAAUUUAACUUGUCGUUGCGAAUGUGCCUCGGUGAUGCCGCAACUGCUGAGGAAGCUAUGCGUCGAUCGAUCGCUCGGAAGCGCAUAUUAGCAUGUAAACGCUAUUCAGGAUCAAUCUCCCCUUGAGGCUAAUACGAAGGUUAACAACAUUCAAAUAUACUGUAUGAACAGAAGACUCCGCUAAAAUGAUCAUCCUCGGAGGAAAAAGUAAUGGAACCAGACGAAGAUGAGAGACUGGCAAGUGCGGCGGGAUCGCCCCGUCCCUCUUGUUGGCGAAAAAAGGGAGGUCGACUCAUGAAUAAUGCGGGGGUUGAAAGCCGGUUGAAACAAUUGCCGGGCGUCGCUCUACUCCAGAAAUUACAUCGUCAGAUUUUCCGCGAAAUUAAAACAUUAUACCGGGUGCCCGAGGUGUUCUUUAACCCUGCCGACCGCAGAUUUCCCGCGGAAUUUCUUCUGCUCUCUUGUUUUGUAAUUCUUUUUUAUGCUGCUAUAAUUCUAAGCGUUGAAUAUAUAAAAACAGAUCUCUAGUUUAAUUAAUACGUGUUCAUUAAAUGUUAUAUAAAAAAUUAAAAUUUUUUUUACGCUCAUAAUUCAUAAUCGUGUGUUUCGACAUUGAAACAAAUCAAAUUUUUGUUAGUUUGAUUUUGUAUCUUAUUCUUUUUAAAUUAUGUUAAAUUUUCUGUCAAAAUAUUUGCAUUUUAAAAAGCUUUCCAUUUCUAAUUGACGUAAAAUGCUCGAGACACCGUGUACAUUUCAUUCCCGUCUACGGCCACUCGUCUUCCUGUCUUUUCUUCUCGCGGUAUUUCUUCUCCUUUUCUAGUUACGCGUGAUACGUCCGCUCGUCCUAACAAAAAAAAAAAAAAUCGCCGAUUAUGCGAUUUGACUGACGGCGAUACGAGGACACUUUUCCUUUAAUAUUUAGUAGCUCGUUCUUGCCGACGAGGACGAAAUUGCGAAACUGGCUCGCGGCGUGCAAUUUCUAGGAUAAUUUUGGACCCGAUUAUUAAACGUCCUUAUGGUGUCGCUAUAGUUUUUGGAAAUAUGCUGCCGAGAAUCGAAAAUACAUAUCGCGAAAUAAGUCUAAAUGCGCGAAAUAAGGAUCACGUUUUUUCUCAAGUUUCAUUUU